AGUGGUUGAGUUUAUGUGGCUUCCAGCUCAUCAUACAGUCCUUGUGUUUGCAGGGCUAUUAGAAAUCCCACGGUAAGGCAUCAGAAUCUGCUUCAUAUAGGCAGGACCGAAACCACUAUGACUUUAAAUGAGGUAACAUGCUUUCGUGUGUUUCUGCUCAGCAGCUCUUGUGUGCCUUGAGUCAGCUCUGAGUGAGAAAAAGGAAUGGUUAUUUCAGUAUUUCAAAAAAGUCUGUCUACACAGAUGAUAUUCUAGGAGAUGGUUGUUCAAAGGGAAAAAGAGGGCAAACACCUAAAGGAAAUCUUUUAAACAGCAAGAACCUCUGUCUCCAAGUGCAACAGAGCAAAAUGGAAAUUCUGCUAGCUUUCUAGCCCCUACUUUUAGCUAAUGCAGACUGUAGCCAGGUCCAGCAAAAGACAGAUGGCAGAAAUAUCAGUGUCCAUCUUCAUAUGGAAGCAAGAACUUUUGAAGACUUUUUAAUCUUGGAAGAUGAAUUAUUAUAAGGACUCUGGAUCAGGAAACCGCCCUGUAGGAAGCUGCUGCUAACACUGGCUGCUCCACUUCAAACUUCCUUUGAGACUGCUGGCUGAUUUAAGUAACUGUUACGGAGGUAUCCCCAUCCGAAGAACAGCCACACCUGUGGCUUCAGUCAACAUCUGUCUUUUGAGAACGUGGAGGAAAAAUACACAAUACAAAGAUGUAUUGGAGGCUGUGCUAUCUAAUAAUUGGACACUGGAGCAGGAAGUAUUCUUUUUGUGUGAUCAAAAAUUAUGCUGACAUUUAUUCUACAUAUUUAGAGCCCACCCACCUAUAGAACAUACUACAGCUUUGAGUACAAGAAAUUAAUUCAGCAAACAUGAGUUCUUCAUGACUCUAUGAGUAAUUUCCCUGAAAUAGUAGGGAUAAUGUGAGGAUGUAUUUUGGGAGUGUCCCUAGGACUAGGACGGGUACCAAGGGGUUUAGAUAGAGAAAGGAGUACUUCCUUUUUAGUUAAUGAUCUAAAACUGUUUUAAUAUCCUUGAAUUGGUUCUUCCCUUGGCAAAUAAUUUUCAUACUCUAAGUAGUUACCUUUGCUUGUGCCUAGCACGAGUGAAUUCUAGCAGCUAUGCUUUUGGUAGCAUGCUAAUGCAGCAAUACCUUUUUUAUAUCACAGUAAUUUUCUUUCACUGCUGAAACACCACUGCUUUACAGAAAACUGCAGUGAGAAAAUGGGCAGGUCACAACCUCCAUUUAGGAUGUUUUGUCUUCUCUGCUUUGGGCUUUUCACCUUGUCACAGGUUAUGGAGCCUUUGUACCUUCUGAUUCUGCCACUCUUAUUCUUGGCACUGAUAACUGACUCUGUUGUUCAAGAUCAAAUCAUUAAUUACAUUCCAAAAGGUAGCAAAAUGUGUUGUGUUCCAAAAGGUAGCAAAAUGUGUUGUGUUCCAAAAGGUAGCAAAAUGUGUUGUGUUCCAAAAGGUAGCAAAAUGUGUUGUGUUCCAAAAGGUAUAAAAAAAAAUUGGCUGCUUGCUUCAUUUUUCUUAGAGGGUGUCAAUGCAUUUUAGGAGGCCAGCCAUGCCAUUCCCACUACACUCUAGCAACUCUGCCAUCACAAAAAAGACAAACAAAAAACCCAAACACAUACCUCCCAGAAAAAAAAAUAAGAGAGAAGGUAUUCUUGGAAUGCAAUUUCAUAUAUAGAGCUGAGCAGUCCUCUCCUUUUGUACUGGAAUGCUUUAAAUGUUUUAUUUUGGUGUCUAACCGAGUAACAUAUAGAUGUCCUGAGACGAUGGGGUAUCCAUAACUAUGUCUUUCAGAACAAAAAUGCCUCUUAAGAUGAGGGAUGAGGGUCAGGCCUUUGGAGGAUGGACAGAGAGACUGUCAUGAAUAAUAAUAUGAAAAGCAUCUUUUUCUUUCCAUCACAGUAGAAGUCAUCAAUAGCAUCUCCUCCCUGGGUCAUUCCCAAUGGGACUGGUCAAGCUGUGAUGUAGAGAGGUCUUCUGCACCUACCAAAGCGGAGAGAAAAGCAGGCACACCUCAACACUGGCAGAGUGGAGAGGUGUUUAUAAGCACUGUCGGGAAGGUGUCAAAUGAUUGAUAGUGAUAAGGCCUGGUCACACUCCUCUGCUGUCCAUUGCAGAAAAAGUGUUUAUGCUGCCUCUGUCUGGGCUUCCCCUCUGUCGCCAGUGUGUUCUGUGUGAGUAUAGAGCUAAGAGGUGUUUUUAACUCCAGUGUUUUGGAGAACUGGAAGUUAAGUGAGACAACAAAAAAGGUGGAGAAUUACUGCCUUAAUCUGCAUGUAUUUUAAUUACAUGUCCUGAACAGGGCUGUCCUCUUAGGAAAUGUUUGUUAAACACCCUGAAAUGUGAUAGCCCUUCCAAUGUCACAGUAACUGCAUGCUUCCCAGAAGAGGUUUGGCAGUCCUAAAUUGCAGAAGUGAGUUUUGCAAUUGGAAAUCACGGAUUGCAGCAAUGCUGGAAAUAAAACAAGAAGUGGAAUCAGCAGUAAAAAACAUUUUGGACAUUACUGUCUUCAAUAGUUCAUCAAAAGACCUACUACUUGUAUGAGUUCAUCCAGCUGAAAUAUAAAAAUGCACACUGUAACACAUUGCAGUGUUGUUGACAGGGAAGAAGCUGUGAAUUAUUAUUGCAUAAAACUGUGAGUCAAGACCACUAAUGUGUUUUUACAGUGUUGCCUGUAGCUUAAUUGCACUUGCUGCUGAUAGUGUAUUAUAUCUUCUUAUAUCUUCAUGGCUACACAGGCAUUAAUUUAAUCAGAGAUAAUAAAUGAAACCUCUGGAAUUAAUUACAGGUUGUAACAGUUUUUUUGCUUUACUAGAACAGGCAGGAAGACAAAAACAUGUGGACCCAUAAACAUUAACUGGCUUUUGCAACCCAGUCAUUACAGAAGAAAGACAAUGAAGAUUAAAUUACGUGGAGAUGUAGCUGAGAAUGUGCAGGCAUUUCCACAGCAGUUCUCCAUGUGGAAGAUCUUGACUAACUUAGCCAUCUCUUGGAUCCUUUCAAACCCAGAUGCAUCUUGUGUUUGAAUCUAUAUAAAAGAUCUAAGCUUAAGAAUUGCUUUUGCAGAUAC